rnacentral:tRNA from 1 species
UCCCUAGUGGCUCAGAGGUUAAAGCGUCUGCCUGCAAGGCAGGAGACCCAGGUUCAAUCCCUGGGUCAGGAA